rnacentral:rRNA from 1 species
UACGUAGGGUGCAAGCGUUGUCCGGAAUUAUUGGGCGUAAAGAGCUCGUAGGCGGUUCGUCACGUCGGCUGUGAAAUCCCGAGGCUCAACCUCGGGUCUGCAGUCGAUACGGGCGGACUGGAGUACUGCAGGGAGACUGGAAUUCCUGGUGUAGCGGUGAAAUGCGCAGAUAUCAGGAGGAACACCGGUGGCGAAGGCGGAUCUCUGGGCCUUGCCUGACGCUGAGGCGCGAAAGCUAGGGGAGCGAACAGG